AACGCACCUUGCGCUCCUUGGUAUUCCGAGGAGCAUGCCUGUUUGAGUGUCAUUAAAUUCUCAACCUCACCAACUUUGUCAUGAAGUUUGUGUGUAGGCUUGGAGGUGGGGGGUUUGCAGGUCCACAACUGUGGUCUGCUCCUCUGAAAUGUAUUAGUGGGUUAGGCCCCUUAUCUAUCGGUGUGAUAAUUAUCUACUCCGUGGAUUGGGUUGGCUUAUCAUAAGACCUGCUUCAAACCGUCCUUCCCUUGGACAACUCUUGACAUUUUUGACCUCAAAUCAGGUAAGACUACCCGCUGAACUUAA
rnacentral:misc_RNA from 2 species